UCGUGUUGGCAGAUUUAAUGCAAUUGAUUUAAGCUCAAUCCAUGAGAUAUAAUUCUCACACGGC
rnacentral:tRNA from 1 species